AUUUCCUGGAAACGACUUUCAACGGGAAGAGAAUAUUUGGCGCGGAAACUUCUGUUGUGUUGAGCUGUGUACCAAGAGAGAGAUGAAGGUUGUCAAUAAAUAGCAAUGGCUCCGGCUUCUAACACAUAGAAGCAUCGCACCUGGCAUUGAUGAGCCUGGAAAGAGUGGCGAUAACAUCAUUAUUGGCAGUGGCAUCUGGGCCCAGUUCCAAACAUGCCUUUCUUGGAAGCUGGAGGUUUGCUUUAAAGGUUAAAGGCAAAGAAGGAAAAUCCUCGUCUGACACGGGGAUGACUGGUCUGGCAGCUCAACAGAGCCAAGGGAGAGAAGGUCAAAUACGAGGUGAUAGUCGCGUGUGUGUGUGUUCGUUGCCCAAGCCCUGUUCCGACAGGUGGCGGAUUUGACCAGUGUGUAUGAAGAGGUGGACGAGGAACUCUCGGAUGGCGAGAGAGGCAGAACGGUGACUGGAUCGUUGAUGAUGUUUUCUUGAAGAUCACUCCGUGACACACACAAUGCAGUGGUUCAGCAGAAGAUGAUGCGCUGUCUGCCGCUGACUUCCCACUCGCCGUCUCUCGCCGCUGUCAUCAAAUGGACUCAUGCUAGCAACAAGUUCUGACUGAGCUCUAUUGUCAUGAAAUGCCAUACAACUGCAGAGUUUCUCUCUUUCUCAUACAAAGUUAUAACGAGGAGCGCCCACAAUGUGUUCUGUGUGGGGAAAGUGCUUACUGAUGAGUCUCUCAUAACGAACAAAUGAGUAAAAGGACACGCCCUGACCAAACAUCCACAGCAUGAUGGUAAACCCAGAGAGUUAUUUCAGAACAGGGCAGAAUGCUUCAGGAAACAGUGGUUCAGGAAACAGUGCUUCAGGAAACAGGGCUUCAGGAAACAGUGCUUCGGGAAACAGGGCUUCAGGAAACAGUGCUUCGGGAAACAGGGCUUCAGGAAACAGUGCUUCGGGAAACAGUGCUUCGGGAAACAGUGCUUCAGGAAACAGUGCUUCGGGAAACAGUGCUUCGGGAAACAGUGCUUCGGGAAACAGUGCUUCAGGAAACAGUGCUUCAGGAAACAGUGCUUCAGGAAACAGUGGAAAAGUAAGUCAGCUAGCAAGACAUUGUUGUCAUUUUAUAACAGGUGAUGGAUGAUAAGCAGAAAUAAGGGAAUACUAGCUAACUCUCAUAGUAGAUGUGAGUUUCUCUUUCAAACAAUCCUCUGGCCUUGUACACAGCUAAUAGCUAACAUUCACCAAAGCAAGCUAGCUACUGAUAGUGCAACCCUCAGUAACAGUCCAGAUGAAAAAUGAUCAGGCCUACUGUUCAUCUUACUGUUGAAAACUA